rnacentral:rRNA from 1 species
CACGUAGGGCGCGAGCGUUGUCCGGAAUUAUUGGGCGUAAAGAGCUCGUAGGCGGCCUGUUGCGUCCGCUGUGAAAGCCCGGGGCUUAACCCCGGGUCUGCAGUGGAUACGGGCAGGCUAGAGGUAGGUAGGGGAGAAUGGAAUUCCCGGUGUAGCGGUGAAAUGCGCAGAUAUCGGGAGGAACACCAGUGGCGAAGGCGGGCAUCUGGGCCAACACUGACGCUGAGGCGCGAAAGCUAGGGGAGCAAACAGG